ensembl:snRNA U6 U6 spliceosomal RNA
GUGCUUGUGUGACCAGGACAUAUACUAAAAUUGGAUGCUACCAAGAAGUUUAGCAUGGCCCCUGGGCAAGAACGACACAAAGAAUUGUGAUGUGUUCAGUAUUAAA